AACUCUAACCGGGAGUUUGCUCUCGCUAGGAGUGGUGUACCGGCGAGUAAUGCGUUCUAACUUGCCGAGUUGUUUGGGAUAACGCAUCGUAUGGUGUGCUAAUACCUCAUACGAAGGGAGGGUGGGGGGGGGGACCUUCGCGCCUCACGCUAUUCGAGCUGCCGACGUCUGAUUAGCUAGUUGGUGAGGUAAAGGCUCACCCAGGCGACCAUCAGUAGCGGGUCUUAGAUGAUGAUCCGCCACACUGGGACUGAGACACGGCCCAGACUCCUACGGGAGGCAGCAGUGGGGAAUUUUGGACAAUGGGCGCAAGCCUGAUCCAGCCAUGCCGCGUGUCUGAAGAAGGCCUUCGCGUUGUAAAGGACUUUUGUCCGGGAGCAAAUGCCUGGUGUUAAUAGCAUCGGGAGCUGAGAGUACCGGAAGAAUAAGCACCGGCUAACU
rnacentral:rRNA from 1 species